CUCUUUGCAGUCACUCACGACACUUACCACCAGAGACAACCACGUGGUGUUUGGUGAAUGCAUAGAGAAAAGUGAAAAGAGACAGUCUCUGUUUAACAGUGAAGUCAGGUCCUCUGGCAUCUUUUCUACAAACAUGGCAAAGAUUUGUUUAGUUGUCCAGAUUUCAGUGAUACCAGCCAGAAUUAUAUAUGAUGCCAUUUAUCAUCAUUGAAUGAGAUUCUUUGGCAUCCUCUCUACAAACAUGGGUUAGUUUGCUCAAGUUUUGGUGAUACCAGCCUUAGAUAUUCAUACUGCCUUUAUUCAUCAUAAUAUAUUGAUUAAGGUCUUCAUAGGCAGGAGCUCCCAACACAGAGACAUCGAUUAGCAAAAAAGGUUUUCAAGUGGCAUUCAUGAAGCAAGAGACACCGUUAUAGAUAUUCCCAAUAGCUGAGGUGAAUAAAAAUAAUAUUGUAUGCCCUAGUUGUUAGAUCAGUUGAAGCCAUUGAUGCCAAACAAUUUCUGUUCCGGCUACUGAUUAUGGCUGAGGAUACCCACCAAUCUGAUGCAUUGUUCAUUUAAACCUAUUAUUGAAUCAUAAUUAUCAUUCAGUGUGGUUGAAAUAUUUUUUUUUAGGUUCUCAUGAAGGUGAUAUUCCAGAGACAGGUUGUAAGAAUUUUAUAU